UACGUAGGGUGCAAGCGUUGUCCGGAAUUAUUGGGCGUAAAGAGCUCGUAGGCGGUUUGUCGCGUCUGCUGUGAAAACCCGAGGCUCAACCUCGGGCCUGCAGUGGGUACGGGGCAGACUAGAGUGCGGUAGGGGAGAUUGGAAUUCCUGGUGUAGCGGUGGAAUGCGCAGAUAAUCAGGAGGAACACCAAUGGCGAAGGCAGAUCUCUGGGCCGUAACUGACGCUGAGGAGCGAAAGCAUGGGGAGCGAACAGG
rnacentral:rRNA from 1 species